rnacentral:rRNA from 1 species
AUACGGAGGGUGCGAGCGUUAAUCGGAAUUACUGGGCGUAAAGCGCGCGUAGGCGGUCUAUUAAGUCAGAUGUGAAAUCCCAGGGCUCAACCUUGGAACUGCAUCUGAUACCGGUAGACUAGAGUUUUGGAGAGGGAAGUAGAAUUUCAGGUGUAGCGGUGAAAUGCAUAGAGAUCUGAAGGAAUACCAGUGGCGAAGGCGACUUCCUGGCCAAAAACUGACGCUGAGGUGCGAAAGCGUGGGUAGCAAACGGGAUUAGAUACCCUAGUAGUCC